UGGGGAAUAUUGCACAAUGGAGGGAACUCUGAUGCAGCGACGCCGCGUGAGGGAUGAAGGAAUUCGUUUCGUAAAACUCUGUCCUAUGGGAAGAAAAGGACUGUACCAUAGGAGAAAGCUCCGGCUAAAUACGUGCCAGCAGCCGCGGUAAUACGUAUGGAGCGAGCGUUGUCCGGAAUUAUUGGGCGUAAAGGGUGCGCAGGCGGCUUUACAAGUUGGAUGUGAAAUAUUGUGGCUCAACCACAAACGUGCAUCCAAAACUGCAAAGCUUGAGUUAAGGAGAGGUAAGUGGAAUUCCUGGUGUAGCGGUGGAAUGCGUAGAUAUCAGGAGGAAUACCGGUGGCGAAGGCGACUUACUGGACUUAAACUGACGCUCAGGCACGAAAGCGUGGGGAGCAAACAGG
rnacentral:rRNA from 1 species